UACGAAGGGGGCUAGCGUUGCUCGGAAUCACUGGGCGUAAAGCGCGCGUAGGCGGAUUGCUAAGUCAGGGGUGAAAUCCUGGAGCUCAACUCCAGAACUGCCUUUGAUACUGAGGAGCUUGAGUCCGGGAGAGGUGAGUGGAACUGCGAGUGUAGAGGUGAAAUUCGUAGAUAUUCGCAAGAACACCAGUGGCGAAGGCGGCUCACUGGCCCGGUACUGACGCUGAGGUGCGAAAGCGUGGGGAGCAAACAGG
rnacentral:rRNA from 1 species